AACGAACGCUGGCGGCAUGCCUAACACAUGCAAGUCGAACGAGACCUUCGGGUCUAGUGGCGCACGGGUGCGUAACGCGUGGGAACCUGCCCUUAGGUUCGGAAUAACUCCCCGAAAGGGGUGCUAAUACCGGAUAAUUUCUUCGGACCAAAGAUUUAUCGCCUUUGGAUGGGCCCGCGUUGGAUUAGCUAGUUGGUAGGGUAAAAGCCUACCACGGCGACGAUCCAUAGCUGGUUUGAGAGGAUGAUCAGCCACACUGGGACUGAGACACGGCCCAGACUCCUACGGGAGGCAGCAGUGGGGAAUAUUGGACAAUGGGCGAAAGCCUGAUCCAGCAAUGCCGCGUGAGUGAUGAAGGCCUUAGGGUUGUAAAGCUCUUUUACCCGGGAUGAUAAUGACAGUACCGGGAGAAUAAGCUCCGGCUAACUCCGUG
rnacentral:rRNA from 1 species